AGAUCAUUAUGGGAAUAAUUUCUUAGUAACCCCUUAUAGCGCUCCCAUGCCUCAUAUAAUGAUUCCCCCCGCGUUUUGCUUGAAAUUUGAGAUAGCCAUCUUUAAUUU